CAUGGGAAUCUUGUUAAAUUGCAGAUUGUACUUUGCAAUAGGGCCUGAGAUUCUGCAUUUCUAGCAAGCUCCCUGGUGAGGC
rnacentral:miRNA from 10 species